rnacentral:rRNA from 1 species
ACGGGUGAGUAAUAUAUCGGAACGUGCCCAAGAGUGGGGGAUAACUAGUCGAAAGAUUAGCUAUUACCGCAUACGAUCUACGGAUGAAAGUGGGGGAUCGCAAGACCUCACGCUCCUGGAGCGGCCGAUAUCUGAUUAGCUAGUUGGUGGGGUAAAAGCCUACCAAGGCGACGAUCAGUAGCUGGUCUGAGAGGACGACCAGCCACACUGGGACUGGGACACGGCCCAGACUCCUACGGGAGGCAGCAGUGGGGAAUUUUGGACAAUGGGCGCAAGCCUGAUCCAGCAAUGCCGCGUGUGUGAAGAAGGCCUUCGGGUUGUAAAGCACUUUUGUCAGGGAAGAAACGGUUCUGGUUAAUACCUGGAGCUAAUGACGGUACCUGAAGAAUAAGCACCGGCUAACUACGUGCCAGCAGCCGCGGUAAUACGUAGGGUGCAAGCGUUAAUCGGAAUUACUGGGCGUAAAGCGUGCGCAGGCGGUUAUGUAAGUCAGAUGUGAAAUCCCCGGGCUCAACCUGGGAAUUGCAUUUGAGACUGCAUGGCUAGAGUGUGUCAGAGGGGGGUAGAAUUCCACGUGUAGCAGUG